rnacentral:rRNA from 1 species
UACGAAGGUGGCAAGCGUUGUUCGGAUUUACUGGGCGUAAAGAGCGUGUAGGCGGCCAGACAGGUCCGUUGUGGAAACUAGAGGCUUAACCUCUAGACGUCGAUGGAAACCGUCUGGCUAGAGUCCGGAAGAGGAGAAUGGAAUUCCUGGUGUAGCGGUGAAAUGCGCAGAUAUCAGGAAGAACACCCGUGGCUAAGGCGGUUCUCUAGUACGGUACUGACGCUGAGACGCGAAAGCGUGGGGAGCGAACAGG